AUUGAACGCUGGCGGCAGGCCUAACACAUGCAAGUCGAACGAGUGGCAGACGGGUGAGUAAUGUCUGGGAAACUGCCUGAUGGAGGGGGAUAACUACUGGAAACGGUAGCUAAUACCGCAUACCAUCGGAUGUGCCCAGAUGGGAUUAGCUAGUAGGUGGGGUAAAGGCUCACCUAGGCGACGAUCCCUAGCUGGUCUGAGAGGAUGACCAGCCAGACGGGAAAUGAGACCAGGUCCAGACUCCUACGGGAGGCAGCAGUGGGGAAUAUGGCACAAUGGGCGCAAGCCUGAUGCAGCCAUGCAGCGUGUGUGAAGAAGGCCUUCGGGUUGUAAAGCACUUUCAGCGGGGAGGCGUUACCCGCAGAAGAAGCACCGGCUAACUCCGUGCCAGCAGCGGCGGUAACAC
rnacentral:rRNA from 1 species